rnacentral:pre_miRNA from 1 species
UAUAAGGGAUUUUAAUUUUUUGCUUGCAACGUUUGACCACUCGUCUUAUUCAAAAUUUUUUAAAAUUAUUUUUUUUUUGUGAUUUAUUUUAUUAUCCACAGUAUUUUAAGCACAACUUUUCGUUUUUUAUAUUUGCAAAAAAAAUUUGAAUAAGACGAGUGGUCAAACGUUGCAAGUAAAAACUUAAAAUCCCUUAUA